rnacentral:rRNA from 1 species
AGUGAACGCUGGCGGUAGGCCUAACACAUGCAAGUCGAACGGCAGCACAGGAGAGCUUGCUCUCUGGGUGGCGAGUGGCGGACGGGUGAGGAAUACAUCGGAAUCUACUUUUUCGUGGGGGAUAACGUAGGGAAACUUACGCUAAUACCGCAUACGACCUACGGGUGAAAGCAGGGGACCUUCUGGCCUUGCGCGAUUGAAUGAGCCGAUGUCGGAUUAGCUAGUUGGCGGGGCGAAGGCCCACCAAGGCGACGAUCCGUAGCUGGUCUGAGGGGAUGAUCAGCCACACUGGAACUGAGACACGGUCCAGACUCCUACGGGAGGCAGCAGUGGGGAAUAUUGGACAAUGGGCGCAAGCCUGAUCCAGCCAUACCGCGUGGGUGAAGAAGGCCUUCGGGUUGUAAAGCCCUUUUGUUGGGAAAGAAAUCCAGCUGGCUAAUACCCGGUUGGGAUGACGGUACCCAAAGAAUAAGCACCGGCUAACUUCGUGCCAGCAGCCGCCGCUG